rnacentral:tRNA from 1 species
GCCUUCGUGUUGUAGUGGUCAGCACGCUUGACGCGUAACCGAGAGGUCCGUGGUUCGAUUCCCGGCGAAGGCG